ACGAGAAUCCAUCGGUGGGUGCCUUUUCGAUUUCUGGUCUCUCUCAUUGAAUCCAAGCGCCCCAAUCAGCCGGCGCAGUUUGCGAUGGUUUCGGCCUCCCCAUCUCCGGCCACCGGAGCCCCUUCCUUCCCCUUCUCCAGCCGGCGGACGCCCCUCCCCUCCCAUCCCGUCAUCAGGAGAGGAGAGGAGAGGAGAGGAGAGGAGAGGGAGAUCCAGCAGGGCAGGCCAUGGCGCCGGCCAGAACCGCGCCGGGACUGAACUGGACCAAGAUCGUGUCGUCAGGAAACCAACCCCAUGGAGCUGCUCUCUGUUGCUCCUCCAGGUUGGCAGGCAGGUGCACUGAUUAUCCAUCACUAGCAGCGCCAUGGACCAGCUAAAGAUCUGAUCAACACAGCUCGCUAUAUAUCUUGGAGCAAAAAGUUUUGGAUGCAGACAACCGUGCCGUGUUGGUUUCUUCAUAGUACACGUGCUGCCAGCCGUGUAGGUUCCACUCUCCCAGCCAUGUGAUGCCAGCGAUUUCGCUCGCCACGCUGUGAACGGGGCGGUGGCGAUACCCGCCCUCGGCUACAACUUGCACUAGAUUUGGCCUCUGGAUGGAUGCUAUGGUUCCUGUAAUGUUGCUCUGUUGGUUCUUAUUCCUCAUUAGGUUCUCUCAAGCUGGAUAUUGGAGGACACUAAAGGCUGCGGUCAUGGGCCACAUUCUCUUGCGGAACUUUCUUAUUGGCUUCAUAGCAGCAAUCUCCAGGAUCUUUCUAUGGAAUUCAAGGGUUAUGUCUUCAAGAUCAUGAGUGGUUGCAAUAAGCUGGGCUUCCCUAUGAAGCAAGAAGUGCUAACUUCUGGUACGCCAUCUGCUUCACAGGGGGCAACGGUGGUGGCCAGGCCAUGUGGGUCCAUUUAUCUUGUUGUGGUCCAUCAAGGGCAACGGUGGCCAGGCCAGGCCAUGUGGGUCCUCAGGAAAGGAAGGAAUGGAUCGCCUGUGUAUCUAGUUGUUGAACAGGGCUGAUUUGUACAACUGAACAUGCCGUCGAUUUUGCUCGCGAUGCUGUGACCGCGGCGGUGGCGAUGCCCGCCCUCGGCUACAACUUGCACAGGAUUUGGCCUCUGGAUGGAUGCUAUGGUUCCCAUGAUGUUGCUCUGUUGGGUGACUCAGUACACAUGUUCUCUCAAGCUGGAUAUUGGAGAACACUAAAGGCUGCGGUCAAUGGCCACUUUCUCUUGUUGAACUUUCUUAUUGGCUUCAUAGCACCAAUCUCCAGGAUCUUUCAAUGGAAUUCAAGGGUUAUGUAUUCAAGAUCAUGAGUGGUUGCGAUAAGCUGGGCUUCCCUAUGAAGCAAGAAGUGCUAACUUCUGGUCCGCCAUCUGCUUCACAGGGGUCAACGGCGGUGGCCAGACCAUGUGAGUCCAUUCCUGAUGUGUCCUCCCUCGCGUUUCUUGCACGGGCAGAAUUACCUUGGCGGGUAGAGCAUACGACGAAAAAGGUGCGGCGGCGCUAGAGUGCGGCCAGCUGAUCGAGGGAGCUUGGAACGAUGCUCGGUGGAAUGUCGUUAUGAGCGUGGAGAUGCUGCUCCGGUGAGGUUGUUGGUGGUGACCACAGUGAGUAUAUUGCGACGUCUCCCACGACACGUUAUACAGCUAUGAAGACUCUUGUUUCUACUGCUCGCAAGAGUAGGCGCCCUUGCAUUGUUGGUGAAUCUGUUCUGGUGUGCAAUGAACGUCGUGCUGCAGACGACCUUGGCUUGUCAGUGAUCAUUGAGCAACUUGGCCAAGAACUCGCCCAACCUGAGGGUGGCCCACAUCAUAAUCAAAGAAGAUGGUGGUGGAUGAGACCGGUGCUGCUUUUGUGAUGAGCAAAACAAAAACUUGGUGGUCGCCGGCCGUGGCCUCCUGCGCGUGCGCAGCCGUAGUCUUGGCUAGUGGCCUCGGCUACAACUUGCAAAGGGAGCUCGUCCCUCUUCCUCCUCUGGUUCUCCCCCCUUGCUCUGAGCACAUGGACAUCGAGCCAUGGCUAUUUUACACCAGGUUUAAUGUCCAUGUCUGGUUAUGGUUUGGACUGGUGGUACAGUCAUGGCAUAAUGACUCCAGGUUAUGCUUGGAUGGAUUUAAUCUUUCUAAAAUAUGAGAUUUUUUGUAAAGAGCUAGUCUUGUAGGGUUUCAAUUGUCUAAAGAUUGUGGUUUUGAGAAGAUUGUUACCUUUCUGGUUUUAUGGCUGAUGUGGUCAGUAGAGAUCCAUGCGUGUUGUAUUUCCUAGUGGUGAUAUGAUGAACUAUAGAUUUGGAAGUUUGCUUUGUACAACUGCACUAUAGAGUUGGAUUUUUUUCGUGGUUGCGUGAUGUCGAUGAUGAUUACUGUGAAGCUUUCUCAAUGUAAUCACUAAUGAUUGCAUAACCUACUGCUUUCCUCUGUUGCAUAAUGUCCCUCUCAAUUCUUCUCUCUUGAAAUAGUGGUUUUGCGUGAUCCCUUGUGACAGAAAUUAUUGGGACUUCAAGAUGCAAAGGUAAAACAAUUUUUGAUGCUGCUGUUUAGGUUAGAUAGUCACACUUUUAUUUCUGUCAAUUGCAUGGCAUGGUAUCUAGACUAGGUGUCGUUGAUGUUCUCAAUAUAUUCAUGCCUUUUUAUACCUUGAAUGAUCCAUCAGCAUCCUGUAAAGACUAGUCUCAUUGAUGGUAAUAUUUAUAAGUAUACAUGUUAUCAGAACACACAAAAUGAACCCUGUAUUGCUUUGUUCAUUUCAAUUUCGUGUAUUGUGCUAUUGUUUUACUCUGAGUUGGCCUGAUCCGGUUUUUUCCACAAAUGCAGGUGCCAUUGUUGUUGAUUCCAUUGUUCAUGGCCAUCUGAAAAGCUAAGGAACUGUUCAAACCUUGAAAUAAACUUGAACACCCUGCAGUUGUGUAAUUGAGGAGCCCCAUGACAUCAACAAGAAUGACGACGAUGAUGCGGAGGAGGAGGACCUCAACUACACACCACACAAAGUCCCUAUUGUCUGUCGGCAAUGGCUUCCUUCCCUGCAGCAGACCUGGACCCCAUGCCCAAGCUCACGAGGUCACCGUUGAGUCCGACCUCCACCUCGAUCAUGACGACGACGACCCGCACAAGGUCGAUCCCUACUUUACCACAAAUAUGUUCUUUCUUUUGUGAAGUAACAGUUCCUUGCUUUGUGUAAUGUUAAGAAACUGUUUGUUGAGACAACAAUUAGUCUCUCCCGGCUACAGGAACUGUUUAUAUGCAUUUGCUUAGGCUUGGAGCAUAACUCAUAAAUCAGUUACCUGUUUUGCAUAUCCUAUGAAUUUGAGCCUUAUCUGUUUGCUAUUUCUCCAUCUCAAAUCUCCAUCAGUAAGCUAAAAAAAGACUAGCUAGCUAAUCCUCUGUAAUUAGCUUGCUUCCCCCAUCUCACGCUGAAACCCUAG